AAUAUUGCACAAUGGGGGAAACCCUGAUGCAGUGAGGCCGCGAGAGUGAAGAAGUAUUUCGGUAUAAAAAGCCCUAUUAGCAGGGAAGAAAAUGACGGUACCUGACUAAGAAGCCCCGGCUAACUACGUGCAAGCAGCCGCGGUAAUACCUAGGGGGCAAGCGUUAUCCGGAUUUACUGGGCGUAAAGGGAGCGUAGGUGGCGAGUCAAGUCAGAUGUGAAAGCCCGGGGCUCAACCCCGGGAUUGCAUUUGAAACUGGUUUGCUAGAGUGCAGGAGAGGUAAGUGGAAUUCCUAGUGUAGCGGUGAAAUGCGUAGAUAUUAGGAGGAACACCAGUGGCGAAGGCGGCUUACUGGACUGUAACUGACACUGAGGCUCGAAAGCGUGGGGAGCAAACA
rnacentral:rRNA from 1 species